rnacentral:rRNA from 1 species
GGCUAUAGUUAUCGUACUCUGAACAUGCCUGAUUUCAUUUGAUUUCAGAAGCUAAGCAGGACACUGACAAGAUGGAGAAUUUUCUGGAAAGCAUUAACAGAAUACAUAAGAGACU